GGCUCCAUAGUGUAGUGGUUAGCACGUCUGCUUUACAUGCAGAAGGUCCUGGGUUCAUGCUCCAGGUGGAGCCA
rfam:Pteropus alecto contig80165, whole genome shotgun sequence.